ensembl:lncRNA LINC03002 long intergenic non-protein coding RNA 3002
AGAGCUCCAGUUGUGUCUUGUAAGAAUUGGUCAUUGUUUCAUGGGGACGACUGGCUCCUUUGGGUGGGAUCUGAUGGCAUCUCAUGGAGUUGAGGUCUGCUGCAGUAAUGAAUACAUAUAGAAAUAUAUAUAACUGUCGAGGCAGAGCCCUUCAUAACAGAGCUCAGUAAAGGUGUGUACCUGGCCCAGGAGUUGGAGAAGCUUCAGGAGGAUCCAUCCAGGGGAAGGUGGAACAGUUGCAGGCCCAGCUGCUGUCUCAUGCAAGAGGUGAUCCAGCAGCGAAGAGACAUAUAUAAGGAUAUGGUAGUACUAACAGGAAACCUAGAACUUUAGCUUUCAAGACAUGCUCCUGAUUCUCUUUGUGUAGAAGCAGCCUAGAUUGAAUCACUGCCUUCUUUGCCUGUUGAUUCAAUGGCAUGAGUCAAAGCGGUCAGGUGGCACUCCAGAUCAACCGAGUCAUCAUAUGUCCCCUGACAGAAGAACUCCUCCUUUUGGAACUAAGACCUCUUUACCACCCGAGCCUGAUGUCACAGGGACUGGAAGCAAUCGUUUGUUAGUGAACUGCUAGGGAUAAUAGUGAGAAGAUCCUGUCCUAUUUCCACCCCUUGAUCCCCGUACGCAUGAGUUCUGGCUAAGGAAGAAACAGAAAUAUAUGUUGGAUGCUGAUCUAGAGCAUACUUUGCAUCCUAAAAGACCAUACAUGAGUCUCCAAAAGGACAUUCCACCAUUCUAUCAAGCCAGCUGCUUCAGGGUGACGGGGAACACGGUUGUCUGCCAACGCUAACUGGCCAGCUCUGACAGGAGGUGCGUGGCCCAGGAGGAGCCAUCAGGCCAGUUCUCUGGGAUACUGCUGUGUCUCCAGCUCUGCAGUUUGCUCUUCGUCACUCAGCGGCAGACGGAGAGGCAGACACGAGCCCCUUGUGAGCCCUCCUCCUUACCGUCAUCUCACAAUGCUCUGAAAUAAGGAGGCAAAUGGCUGAGGUCCCCUCAGUUGUAGAUGUGAUUGAGUUCUAUCUACCAGAAGCAUAUGCCUCCUGGAAGCCUGGUUCUAACACCUCCCACAAAAUCCUUCAAGCACUUUUUUCUGUUCCAAGGUUUGCUUAUGGGGGACCCAGUGAAGUGCUUCAGAGCCCUAGAGAUUUGCUGAGUCAUAUGAGGGGUCAGCAAACUUUUCCUGUAAAGGGUCAGAUAAUAAACAUUUUAAGCUUUGUAGAC